GGAGCCGGAGGGAAACCGAGUCUUAAUUGGGCGUUAAGUUGCAGGGUAUAGACCCGAAACCCGGUGAUCUAGCCAUGGGCAGGUUGAAGGUUGGGUAACACUAACUGGAGGACCGAACCGACUAAUGUUGAAAAAUUAGCGGAUGACCUGUGGCUGGGGGUGAAAGGCCAAUCAAACCGGGAGAUAGCUGGUUCUCCCCGAAAGCUAUUUAGGUAGCGCCUCGUGAAUUCAUCUCCGGGGGUAGAGCACUGUUUCGGCUAGGGGGCCAUCCCGGCUUACCAACCCGAUGCAAACUGCGAAUACCGGAGAAUGUUAUCACGGGAGACACACGGCGGGUGCUAACGUCCGUCGUGAAGAGGGAAACAACCCAGACCGCCAGCUAAGGUCCCAAAGUCAUGGUUAAGUGGGAAACGAUGUGGGAAGGCCCAGACAGCCAGGAUGUUGGCUUAGAAGCAGCCAUCAUUUAAAGAAAGCGUAAUAGCUCACUGGUCGAGUCGGCCUGCGCGGAAGAUGUAACGGGGCUAAACCAUGCACCGAAGCUGCGGCAGCGACACUGUGUGUUGUUGGGUAGGGGAGCGUUCUGUAAGCCUGUGAAGGUGUGUCGUGAGGCAUGCUGGAGGUAUCAGAAGUGCGAAUGCUGACAUAAGUAACGAUAAAGCGGGUGAAAAGCCCGCUCGCCGGAAGACCAAGGGUUCCUGUCCAACGUUAAUCGGGGCAGGGUGAGUCGACCCCUAAGGCGAGGCCGAAAGGCGUAGUCGAUGGGAAACGGGUUAAUAUUCCCGUACUUGGUGUUACUGCGAAGGGGGGACGGAGAAGGCUAUGUUGGCCGGGCGACGGUU
rnacentral:rRNA from 1 species